GACGUAGGGUCCAAGCGUUGUCCGGAUUUACUGGGCGUAAAGAGCGCGUAGGCGGUCCGUUAAGUGUAGAGUGAAAGCUCCGGGCUCAACUCGGAAAUUGCUCUGCAUACUGGCGGACUCGAGGACGGAAGAGGUUUGUGGAAUUCCUGGUGUAGCGGUGAAAUGCGCGAUAUCAGGAGGAACACCCGUGGCGAAGGCGGCAAC
rnacentral:rRNA from 1 species